rnacentral:lncRNA from 1 species
GAAGUGUAACAAUCAGAUUCAAUGAAUGUGGCAAGCGAACUAAUUAAUCUGACAUGUGGAGCAAAAUGGGAGUGAAUAAAGAAAAAUCAACGGCUCUCUUAGCAUUCCAAAAUCAGAAGCAAGCACAAACAUGAAUUGCCUUGAUCCCCAACUGUCUCUCUUCCUGCGCUUCCACUUAAGCCCCCUUCUCUCUAUUUAAUGUUAUUAUAAUCCAUUUCUCUUGCAACUUGUAACGUUUCCCGAGCUUUGCAUUUCGGGCCCCAUAGCUCACGCUAUGCAUUUUCACCUUGAAAGCGAUAGCUUCGAAGACAAAGUGAAAAUCCCACAACCAUACGCAGGAAUACCAUGUAAGAAAACACUUGCUUGAGCAUUUUUUUUCUUUUUUUUCGGGUAGUGGGUUGUCAGAUUCAUCAUCGAAGAGGCCUGAGUUGGGUUCCUACAGUCUCUCUCUUUAGUUCUUGUCAGUAUAUGCACAUUUGACUAGUUGAAUACAUUAUAGAACUUAUAAAAUCUGCUUUGUCCUUUGCUUGCUGAAUUAUGAAAAUCAUCAAUGGAGUUUUAGAAUCCAGCGAUCUUGUACGUAUAUUUUUUUUGGCAUCAAGCUCCUGAUAUAAAAUAGAGACUCUCAUGUUUUCUUCAGAUACUUGAUAGAUUUGAAAUGCUUGAUUUGAAGAUAUAAUCUGUUACUGUCAAGAGUUGCAGGAAACCUUCUGAUGUGGAGGUUCACUGGUAUUGAUGAAAAUAGUGCAUGCUGAUGCUAAGAUGCUAUUCAUAUCAUAAUAUUUAGAGCAAUAAUUUAGUAGCUUCAAAAAUGGUGUUUGGUUUGUAGGAGCACAGGGAUUGUUGAUUCGUUUCCCAUAGGAUAGGCUGGGUGAUUGAUGGAAUAUGGUGGCGGAGGUAAUCAUUCCACCUUCCUCCGUUUCCAUAGUUGAUUGCAUCAUCAUUCUUUCGCUAGUUAUUCUUCUUUUGAUUUAUUUCUAUCAAAGAUAUGAUGAUUUCAUUUCUAAAAAGCUCAUUCUAUGGGCUUAGGGUAAAUAACUAUCUGAUUACAUCAUCAUUCCAAGCUAUGUCAUCUUCUUAUAUGGUCAGUAAAAGAAAAAAAGAAUUUCCCUACAGUUGAUUCACUUGAAAAAGAUCCCAAUUUUUUCAUUGAAAUGGAGUGAAUGAUUGUCCAAAUACUCCACUUUGCUGAUCUAUGAGGUUUCCAAACUCAACGGAAAAAAACAAAAACAUUAUUUUACUUAAUGUUGUGAGAAGUGGUGGGCUUUUGCCAAUUGUUUAGUUACCUCACAUCUUAUGUCACGCAUGCUCAGAGCUCUGCUUGCUGCUACCACCUAAAUGUCACCUCAGUUUUGAAAAACAAAAACCCUUUUGCAAGUUGCUUGCCUAGUGCUUCCUUCACUCCAAUAAUAUGAACAACUUACAAAUUGUGGUCUCUCCUCUCCCCUACCACUAAGGAAAGAAAAGCUCUAUUUUCCCUUGAACGAUGGAGGAUUGAUGAUUUUGUCCAUUUCCUGUUUCAUUCUUUCAGAAACAUGGGGUGGUGGUGGUGUUUUGAGUGCCCCACAUGAUUGCCAGCCUCUUUCCCUAUUAGGAAUCUGAUGCAAAAGAAACAGUAAAAGUGGCAUUCACUUCUGUUUUGAUUCUUGUUUUCUGGUACACUUGUACUUGUUUAUUCAACAAAGUUCUCAUAACCAAACACAUUUAGUAAGAAAUGAAAUGCUUAUGAGCACAAGAUCCCUUACGGGCUUCAACUAAUUGAAAGUUUAUUACAAAUAUGAGUCGACUCAUGAAUUGUGCAGUCCAUCAUUGAUCCUCCCCACUCAUUUUGAUAUUCUUCACAGAUGACAUGAGGAAGUGAAACACUAACACCAGUAUGCACAAAUUCUAAUAAUUAUUCAGUAGAUGUAUCGCUUUUAAUCUUGGCAAAUUCCAGGGUUUUCUUCCCUUGCAACUUGUUAGUUACAUAGUGUUUGUUGUAUUCUCCAUGGGUGUAUCUCCUGUACUUGCUUGGGGUUUUGUCAUUCACCAGUUCAGGCAUUGGUCCAAGCUCUACUUCGUAGCUUGGAGCAUAGAAAGUGACAAUAGAGAGACGGUCUUUUUCCUUAUGAGUCACUGCCCUGUGUUCCACGCUCUUGUAUUUUCCAUUUGUUAGAACCUGUAUAUUCAAAAUAUUAGAUAACCGCAUAAAAUUAAUGUUACAGGUAUCAUGGGAAAUCAAAAUUCAGGAUUCUUACUUCUAAAGUGUCGCCAAUGUUGAUCACUAAUGCAUUUGGAAUGGGCUGAACAGGGAUCCACUUGUUGUCUUUAAGGAUUUGAAGUCCAACUGAGCUACCCUUUCCUUGCUGCAGCACAGUUAGGGCACUCCCAUCUGAAUGUGGGCUUAGGCCUAGAACAAGGUCAGGUCUUGAACAGGGGGGGUAGUAGUUCAUCCUUAUGGCUUGCACAGCCACCCCAAACAUUUCUUCAAAAGUAUCUGCUUUCAGGCCAAGGGUCAUGGCUAUGUACUUCAAUAGAUUCUGGCACAGCUUCCUCACUUCUCUAGAAUAAACCUCUACAGUUUCACUGCACAAGUAACAUAUGACAUUACUGCUAAGAAAUUUGUAGUAUUAAAACUCUAUAGUAUCAGUAAGGCACAAAACUUACCCAAAUUUUGGUGGAUUUAUCGGCCACAGUUUCGGGCUCCUUAUAUAGUGGGGCUCAAUUCCAAGAGCAAACAUGUUGCACCAGUCCAGCUUUUGGUCCUCAGAGAACACAAAGGCUUGUCCAUAUCCCUGAACUGUUCCUGGUGCCAUUGGAUACUUCUGCUUCUCCUCUAAAGGUAGCAUGAAAAAAUUCUGGGCCACCUCCUCCAUGCUCUCAAGCAAACUCAGAUUAAUUCCAUGGUUAAUCACCUGAGAACCCAAAAUAUAUGAGUCAGCUUCAAAAUCCAUUUCUUAAGUUGUAAGAGAAAGAAAAUAAAUUUAGUGUACCUGAAAAAAUCCCCACUCCCCACAAGCUCUUGCAAGCUGCAAAAUUUCAGUUUGGUAAUCAUCUUUACUGCCAUUCACUAACCUUGAGAAAUUGAUGAUAGGUAUGUUAUUUAGAGAAGGCAAAGCUGUGGUUAGUGUUGGCCUUUCAUUCAUAUCCCUGACAAAUCUUUCAGGAAUUGUUGUUGGCUUAGCCUUUCUCAAUUCCUGAACAUCAUCAAUAUGACCAACCUUGAUUGGAGAACUGGGUACAGGAGCCAUGGCAGUAAAAUUUGGAGAUGACUAAAUAAGUGAAAUCUAACCAGUGCUGCUUGGUAGUUCCAGGCUUACACAACUCUGUAUUUAUAGGAGAAAACAUAGAGUUCUAAUUUUUUUAAUAUCUAGUGUGUGCUGUACAGCAUGUAGGAUGCAGGCCCCUAUUAUGUGCACUUUAUAAAAGUUGACUAACAGACGUAAGAUUUUAUGGGAACCUAGCUAACUUCUGUGUGGUGAUCGGAUAUCUGCAGAACCAAGAAGACUAAACGCAAAUCACGAAAAAGCAAAUUAACUAAUUAAUAUGAAAGCACAGUAGAUUUGUUCCAUUAUUGUUAGCUCUCAGAAGAAUCA